rnacentral:rRNA from 1 species
UACGUAGGAGGCGAGCGUUGUCCGGAUUUACUGGGCGUAAAGGGCGCGCAGGCGGCCCACCAAGUCCGAUGUGAAAUCUCCCUGCUCAACGGGGAGGGUGCACUGUAAACUGGUGAGCUAGAGGACGGUAGAGGGGGGUGGAAUUGCUGGUGUAGCGGUGAAAUGCGUAGAGAUCAGCAGGAACACCGGUGGCGAAGGCGGAUCUCUGGGCCUUACCUGACGCUCAGGCGCGAAAGCUAGGGGAGCGAACUGG